GAUGAACGCUAGCGGCAGGCCUAACACAUGCAAGUCGAGGGGUAGAAGGAGCUUGCUCCUUUGAGACCGGCGCACGGGUGCGUAACGCGUAUGCAAUCUACCUUGUACAGGGGAAUAGCCCAGAGAAAUUUGGAUUAAUGCCCCAUAGUAUAUAACCUUCGCAUGUUGGUUAUAUUAAAGUUCCAACGGUACAAGAUGAGCAUGCGUCCCAUUAGUUAGUUGGUAAGGUAACGGCUUACCAAGACGAUGAUGGGUAGGGGUCCUGAGAGGGAGAUCCCCCACACUGGUACUGAGACACGGACCAGACUCCUACGGGAGGCAGCAGUGAGGAAUAGUGAUCAAUGGUCGCAAGACUGAACCAGCCAUGCCGCGUGCAGGAAGACGGUCCUAUGGAUUGUAAACUGCUUUUAUACAGGAAGAAACCCUCCCACGUGUGGGAGCUUGACGGUACUGUAGGAAUAAGGAUCGGCUAACUCCGUG
rnacentral:rRNA from 1 species